UGACUUCGUGGUAGAGCGCCACGAACGGAAAAUAAAGAAAGCUCGAUUGAA
rnacentral:ncRNA from 1 species